rnacentral:rRNA from 1 species
UACGUAGGGUGCAAGCGUUGUCCGGAAUUAUUGGGCGUAAAGAGCUCGUAGGCGGUCUGUCGCGUCGGCUGUGAAAACCCGGAGCUCAACUCCGGGCCUGCAGUCGAUACGGGCAAACUGGAGUACUGCAGGGGAGACUGGAAUUCCUGGUGUAGCGGUGAAAUGCGCAGAUAUCAGGAGGAACACCGGUGGCGAAGGCGGGUCUCUGGGCCGAUAUUGACGCUGAGGAGCGAAAGCGUGGGGAGCGAACAGG